GCCUGAGUGGUGCAAUGUUUAAGCGCUUGGCUGCUAACCAAGAGGUUGAUGGUUCAAAUCCACCCAGUGGCU
rnacentral:tRNA from 1 species